CAGGGACAUAGUUAGGAUGUAAAUGUUGUAUCACAUAUAAUCCAUCAACUCCAGCAUUUUGAUUCCUUAUAUACUUCUUUAUAUCUUAUCAUGAUAUUUCUUGAAUUUCAACUUCAUAUUUAAUGUGCCACUAAUGAUUUCCAGAUAAAGCCCAUGAAAUGAAACAGCAGUUAAAAUCACUCUUAAUUUCUCAAGCUAACACAUAUAUUCAUAAAUUUCUGCAAGCCCAAUAUAUUUAUUCUAAUAUACGAUUAUUUCAUUCUCCAUCUAGCCACUUCAAAAUAUCCACACACAAUUCCUAGAUUCCUGAUCCUAAUAAAUUUGGAGAGAGAUUAUGUCUUGUACUUAUGUUGGUAUAUAAACCAUUCUUUAUAAAUUGGGCCUUCUGAUUUCUCUCCUGGAACAUCCUGAAUAUGUCAUCGUUUAUAGAUCUGGUGGAAAUGAAGGAAGAUAGGAAAGGGAUAUUGGGAAAUCUGCAUCCCGAUUGUGUUAGGGUUUGUAGAUAAUUUAAUAAGAUAUAGAUAGACAUAGAUAAAUAGGUAUGUAGAUAUGUAGAAAGAGAUUUAUUAUACAAUACUGGCUGACAGUAUUUUUUUUUUCUUUUUGAGAUGGAGUCUCGCACUGUCACCUGCACUGGAGUGCAGUGGUGUGAUCUCAGCUCACCGCGAGCUCCGCCUCCUGGGUUCAAGUCAUCCUCUCGCUCCAGCCUCCCACGUAGCUGGGACUACAGGUGCCUGCCACGCUAAUUUUUUGUGUUUUUAGUAGAAAUGGGGUUUCACCAUGUAGGCCAAGCUGGUCUCGAACUCCUGACCUCAUGAUUCAUCCACCAUGGCCUCUCAAAGUGCUGGAAUUACAGGUGUGAGUCACCGUGCCCAGUUGCCAUUGAUACUCUUAACAAAGCAUAUCAACUUUCCCAAGUUCUUCUUUGGAGCUGUUUGGUGCUUUAUUUAUCCUGUUAUAUGAGUAUAAUUGUGUGUUAAUAUUUUUUUCUGAUUAAUGAUUGGCGACUUUGUCUCUGAACCUUUAUUUUAGAAGUAUGUACUUAUGAAUCUUUAAAUUUCUAACACCUAGCUAAGUAGCUGUCUUCAUUAUACUUGUGAAAUAAAUGUUAACUGAAUUAGAGAUUGAUUGAACAGAUAGGUAAAUAAAUGAACAUAGAAUUCCUCAGGCUGCCAUCUUAAACAUUUAGUUUUUCAGGUUUGGACAAUAUUUCUCUCUGGGUUUUCCUCCUUUUUCUUAUUUCUUGUAUUCUAUUCUUUGUCUCCUGCUGUCUUCCAACACACUGUAGUGUUUUUGACCAACCUUGGAUUAUCUUAUUUUCUACAUAUUCAGGUUCUGUAUUUAUAAAGUCCUUGUUUAUAUUUAUUCAUUAAUUUUAAGAGGAUUAUGAACUUUUCAAAGAUAAUUGUCAUUUAUGUUAGUACUUUGAAUUUUUUCCAGUGCCUAGUAUUGAGGUAGAGGCCAAAUUUAAUCUACCAUUGAUUUUAAUGAAGCCAUAUAUGUGCCUUGGAGCAGUGUCUAUUCAUCUAGGGUGAAGAAUCAAAAUCCAUCUUGUAAAUUUUCUCUAAGGAAAGGCAAGCGUGGAGCUACAGUGUCUUCAAUCUGUUUGGGAAAUGCUAGGCGUAUAUGAUACUAUUGCUCGCACAGCAUAGUGCACAAGUGAAUUUUAGUGUUUGCUAGACAACGUGUGCUUAGCGGUAUGUACUAUUUGUUUUUAAAGUUUCCAAAUACCUCAUAGUAUCUUUCAACUUUCUGCAGAUUCCAUGCACAUAAAUAUGUAUCAUCAGUAUUUUAAAAUGACUGCAAAACUAUGUGAAGUUCUAUAUUGUUGCCUCUGGGAAUAUUUACAAUUUAAAAAGCAACUGGCUUAAUUAUACGCAAAAUGCCAUAACUAUUAAAAAUACAUUAUUACCUUAAAUACUUAAACUUUUGUUUUUGCAAAUCUUUAAAAAGAACACAAAAACAAAAAAAAAAGGCAGAUUUCUUAAAAUCUCAAGAUAAAAGUGUGCUCUAAGUAUUGGAUUGCCAGAUAAAAUACAGAACAUUAGCUAAAUUGGAAUUUAAAAUAAACAAUGAAGUUUUUACCUAUAAGUAUGUAUAACGGAGAUACCCAUAGUAAAACAUUAUUCACUGUGUAUCUAAAUUUCAAAUUUAACUGGUUGUCCUAUAUUUUUAUUUGCUAAGUAUGGCAACUCUAAUGUAAGAUGAAAA
rnacentral:lncRNA from 1 species